UUAGAAGUAGUCGAUUUCAACACAUAGUCCAGAAUUUACCAUAAAUAUGACUGUUUUUCAUGUUUAUGUUAUAGAAAAAAAAAAGAAUAUUUAAGAUUGUUUGUUUCAUAUUUGUUCAUUUGUUAAAACGCUGUGAAAGUCAAUGUCGAGUUAGUCAAUCAAAAAACCAAUACACAUGUAUGCUUAUUUUAUCAGAGCGAAUGAGUUUUUAUUUAAACGUUUUAAACUCGAGCAUUUUUUGUAAGUAUUUUUUUCCAUUAAUUCCAGUUUGACUGUUUAUACUGUUCAUACUUUUCUCACUCAGUACUAUACAUGUUGUCUUAUUAGCCUACGGUUCGUUUUAAUUGUUUCAACUUUUACAACUGAAAGAUGCAUUGUGUUUAACAUGAAGCUAUCCUACACUAAAGUCUAGUUAAACCAGAGAUUAGGAUAAAAACAUCAUGUAAAAUACAACAUUAAUUUUGUAAAAUACAUAGUUGAGUUACAAAUAAUAAAAUAUAAUUAACAACUUGAUAUUAUACCGUGAUAUCUAUAUAGAAAUAUACUUAACUUUAGAAUAAUCUAACUAUUAGUUAUGUAUGAUGUUUGCUUGCUGUGUCAACGUUUCCUGUUAUUUGUGUAUGUUAUUCAAUGUCAUUAUCUUUCUAAUUCCAUUAAUACAUGUCAAAUGACAGCUAUUGCAUUUCCUAUAUCUAUAUGAAUGUUAUUAAUGACUUAUAUAAUCCUAUUAUUAAGUUCUCUUUCUUUUUAUAUGUAUAUAACGUAAAUGAGUUUUCUUUUACAAUAAUGUGUUGUGUUUUAAUUAUGGGUAUUAUACAUUUUUUGUGUAUGGGAUCAUCGUGUUUAAAGUGGAAAUUGAAGGUAUCCGGCUUAUUCUAUAACUUUUAUUUCGUCUCAAUCAUUUUCAUAUAGACAUUUUAUUUUUCGUUUGUUAAUUGUUUAAAUAUCGAAAACGAAUGUAUCAUGUUUAGCUGAAUGUCAUUCAAUAAGAACGUUAUGCCUCUCCAGAUUCAGAAAUGACCAUCUAAAUUGUAUCUUAACCAUAGGAUGCACAACUUGAGUUUAGAUAUAACAAUACAGUUCAAACUAUUAAAUGUGGCUUUCUAAUAAUAGAAACACUCUAAAUGUUUUUAAUCAUAAAAAAGGAGAUUACACUCGUAAUCAGAUGCAUUGCAUUCAUGAGGAUCAAACUUUUAGCAGCUUUAUACUUUUAAACAAUUUCUGUUUCCUUAUUACAUUUUUAACAUUGUGAAUCCUGUUCUAUUUUUAUCUGCAAUAUCAUACCUGCAAAUGGAUCCAAGAUUAUCCUGCUUCUAAUGAAACAUUCACACAUAAACCAAUUUACAGUAAAAUGUCAAGCUUGUAUAAAGAUGAAUACGGGAUAUACGAUGAAUGAUCCGUUAUAUCUAGACCUGUUUCACUACAGUUUAUAAAACCAUUGCUGAUUGGAUCACUGCAAUUAUUGUUACAGAUGCAUCAUCCAAGAACUUAUUGACGAAUACACGUCGUACAUGACGUAUUACUAAUGUUUAACAUUCCAUGGCAUAAUAAAAUUGAUACAUGGAUAUGAUAUUCGUGUAGCGACAAUAUUUUGGAUAGACAGUUAUUCUAUGAACUAAGAAGUGAAAUAUUGCUGCUUUUAAAAUCAGUGAACAUAAACGGGCAAACAUAGAAUGACUUAAAUUCGUAAAAGAAAACUUUGAACCACAAUUACACGAACUUUUGACAUAUUGCACCUGAAAACACAACACUGCCAACACUGUAAUAAAUGUGAAACAAAUUAAGAGCAUUCGUUUUUUUCUGAAUUUAGUAAAUAAAACUGUUUCCUUCUUU